rnacentral:tRNA from 1 species
GCGGGUAUAACUCAGUGGUAGAGUGUGUGCUUUGCAUGCAUGAGGUCCUGGGUUCAAUCCCCAGGACCUCCA